rnacentral:lncRNA from 13 species
GUAUAACUGCCCUGCUAAUGCUGUACAGGAGCUCUUGGGGCCGGGCUUGGCUCAAUGUGGCUUAACAUGGUGGGUGCACUGGCACCCAGAGAAGGAGAGAACCAGAGCUGUCCCUCUUGCAGAUGACAGAGGGGAGCCAGGGCACAGCUCGGCACGGCACGACAUGGCAUGGCAAUGCUUGUGCCUGUGCCCAGAGAGAGAAAGAGUUGAGCUGCUGACCCUGAAGGCAGGGGAGAGCUGGCCCUGCAGCUGCGUGUGGGAGCCACUGGCUCAGGCAGCCGGGACAGGGCGGAUGGUGUAAAGAGCCGGCGUGAGAAAGCUGUUCAUGAGAGCUGCUUCUGAACCCAUCCAUUUUACUCCUUAGGGACCCCCGAGGGUUCUUUCUGCUCAUCCACCCACUGCCCUCGGACCUCAGCAUGGGCUGGACCCAGACGCCGGGAUCUGACCGUCUCCAUUGCUCUCAUCACACACACGCUGCCUCCUCUGCCCCUGUAGCUUCUCAGCUUGGAAAUUACCGCUACACCUGAAGCCUGCAGGUGCUGAGGCCACAUUCUCUCAGACCCAAGCUUCGGGAGGCCCCUGGGGAAAUUUCCCACUUUGUGUCCUGAGACCAGGAAGUCAGCAGAGAAACUCUGUGGGAAAUGAACUGAAGGAUGCCACCCAGGGAGAGCAUCGUCUGAGAUCCCAUCAUGCAGGCCUUUCCACAAGCGCCUGGCAGCAUGACAAGGUAACUGAUACCACCAUCCACAGACCAUCUGGGGCCCUGGAGGAGGGGGCUUGGCCAGGGAGGAACAACUGGGAAGAGGCAGGGAGGAAUCAGUGAAUGCCAGUGUGAGGGUGGCCCGAGAGCCUGAGCCAGGUCUCCCUCACCUCUUCACAUGACCAGCAUGUGAGGCACCCAAUGAUGUCUCAUCCACUGUCUGCUGGUUAUCUCUGCUUGGAAGUCUAUUAGACACCUGUAUCUUUAACGACAAGGCAGAAUGAACCCAUUGGUGCCCACUCUCCCAAACCACUUUCUCCCCAGUGAAUGGUGUGGCCCCAUGCUGGGGCCUCCUGGGCGCUGCUGUUUCUUCAUCUGAAUCGAACUCCCUGCUUGAGUCUGUUUUCUGUUGCUUAUAACAGAAUACCUGAAACUUGGUACUUUAUAAAGAAAAGGAAUCUAUUUCUUAAGCUAUGGAGGCUGAGAAUCUAAGGGUGAGGAGCUGCAUCUGGUGAGGACCUUCUUGCUGAUGGGGGCUCUGCAGGGUCCCAAAGUGGUGUAGUACAUCCUAUGGCGAGGGGGCUGAGUGUGCUCACAGACCAGCUGAGGGCUCCCUUCUUCUUAUUGGGCCAACAGGUCCACUCCCCUGAUGACCCACUGGUCCAUUAACCCUAAUCCAUGAAUGGACUCAUCCAUUUAUGAGGGCAGAGUCCUCAUGAUCCAGUCACCUCUUAAAGGACCCACCUCUCAGUACUACCCUGUUGAGGACUAAGUUUCCCACACAUGAAAUUUGGGGGAUGCAUUCCAACCAUGGGACAAAACAACCAGCUACAUCAGUGCCACACGUGCCCUGGCAGUCCUGCCUCCUCUCCACUGUGGUACUCUUCUCUUUCCCAGAUGCCAAAGCCAUUUUCUCAUUGGCCUGUCUAGCUCCCUUGUCAUGCUGUGGUUCAUUCCCUGUGGUAACUGGAGUGAUCUCGUGAUGCUGCUGGAUCACACAGUCCUCUGACCCUUCCAGUACCUUCUGUAAAUAAAACUGAGGCUUCUCAUACCA